UAUAAAUCCCUGUGCUACCAACAAUUCCAGAUGGUGCAUUCUGCGUACAAUCCCUGAGCGUGAUUGCACUUUCACGCCUUUCACUGAGCAAAUGUCGCGAUACGAUAAAAACAAACCUCAGCAAGAAACUUCAAACCGUACGAGAAUGCCGACACCGUUAGCGCCACAGCCGCUUAUUUGGAAGCAUCUAGAUUCUAACAAUAAAACACCCACUCCGCUGCUGAAAGAUUGUUAUUACAUCGUUCGUGCUCGCAACAAGUGGUUCGCGUGAUUAGUAUGGUUAAUUUUUGAGCUGCAACUUCGUUUGACAUGCUGUUGAACUGUUUUAUUUGUACAUCGCGAGCUGCUAAGGGGCCAAUGUCUCACCAGUCGUUUUCCUUGGAUAUUUUAUGCAAAUGAUUAAGUUUGUCUGGUUGGAUAAAAUGAAGUAUUAACAGCAUCAGUAAAUGGGGGGGAUCGACGCCGUAUGUCUUAAUAAUAACAACACAGAAAAAGCGUCGCUUUCCGUCAUCAUGAUGAAAUUGGUGGUCGACGAAACAAACGGAAUAAAAAGAUAAUCCAAUUUCGGA